rnacentral:rRNA from 1 species
UGGGGAAUAUUGCACAAUGGGCGCAAGCCUGAUGCAGCCAUGCCGCGUGUGUGAAGAAGGCCUUCGGGUUGUAAAGCACUUUCAGCGGGGAGGAAGGCGUUAAGGUUAAUAACCUUAUCAAUUGACGUUACCGACAGAAGAAGCACCGGCUAACUCCGUGCCAGCAGCCGCGGUAAUACGGAGGGUGCAAGCGUUAAUCGGAAUUACUGGGCGUAAAGCGCACGCAGGCGGUUGAUUGAGUCAGAUGUGAAAUCCCCGGGCUUAACCCGGGAAUUGCAUCUGAUACUGGUCAGCUAGAGUCGUGUAGAGGGGGGUAGAAUUCCAUGUGUAGCGGUGAAAUGCGUAGAGAUGUGGAGGAAUACCGGUGGCGAAGGCGGCCCCCUGGACAAAGACUGACGCUCAGGUGCGAAAGCGUGGGGAGCAAACAGG